rfam:Schistosoma curassoni strain Dakar, Senegal genome assembly, scaffold: SCTD_scaffold0010704
AGCUUUUUGAAUCCGUGCUGAGACUUCGUCAGACACCAACCCAUUAGGACUGAUCAGACUCCCAAGAUGAGUGAAGUU